rnacentral:rRNA from 1 species
UACGGAGGGUGCGAGCGUUAUCCGGAUUCACUGGGUUUAAAGGGUGCGUAGGUGGGCUUGUAAGUCAGUGGUGAAAUCUCCGGGCUUAACCCGGAAACUGCCAUUGAUACUAUAGGUCUUGAAUUAUCUGGAGGUCAGCGGAAUAUGUCAUGUAGCGGUGAAAUGCUUAGAUAUGACAUAGAACACCAAUUGCGAAGGCAGCUGGCUACAGGUAUAUUGACACUGAGGCACGAAAGCGUGGGGAUCAAACAGG